rnacentral:rRNA from 1 species
GACGAACGCUGGCGGCGUGCCUAAUACAUGCAAGUCGAGCGGACCGAUGAGGAGCUUGCUCCUCGGAAGUCAGCGGCGAACGGGUGAGUAACACGUGGGCAACCUGCCUGCAAGAUCGGGAUAACUCCGGGAAACCGGGGCUAAUACCGGAUAGGACCUUCGAUCUCCUGAUCGGAGGUGGAAAGGCGGCUUCGGCUGUCACUUGCAGAUGGGCCCGCGGCGCAUUAGCUUGUUGGUGAGGUAACGGCUCACCAAGGCGACGAUGCGUAGCCGACCUGAGAGGGUGACCGGCCACACUGGGACUGAGACACGGCCCAGACUCCUACGGGAGGCUG